CAGUAGGAUGUGGGUGGGGCCAGAUAAGGGAACGAAAGCAGGCCUCCCAAGCCAGGAGCGGCAAACUGCUGGGAUCCAUUUCCAUGCUGUGGACUCUUUGUGCUUUGCUCUUUGCAGUAAAUCUUGCUGCUGCUCACUUUUUGGGUCUGCACCACCUUUAUGAGCUGUAACACUCACCGCGAAGGUCUGCAGCUUUACACCUGAAGCCAGGGAGACCACGAACUCAUCAGGAGGAACGAACAACUCCAGACGCGCGGCCUUUAAGAGCUGUAACACUCAACGCGAAGGUCUGCAGCUUCACUCUUGAAGUCAGCGAAACCGCAAACCCACCAGAAGGAAGAAACUCCGGACACAUCUGAACACCUGAAGGAACAAACCCCGGACACACCAUCUCUAAGAACUGUAACACUCACCGCCAGGGUCCGCGGCUUCAUUCUUGAAUCAGUGAGACCAAGAACCCACCAAUUCCAGACACAGAAGAUGAUCCUCAAUCAAUCACUUAAAGGCCUGAAUAGAACCAAAAGUCUGACCUGCCCAUGAGUAACAGAGAGCUCCUUCUGCCUGAUUGCUUCAGCUGAGAUAUCGGCCUUUCCCUGCCUUUGGAAUUGAACUGCAACACUGGCUCUUCUUGGGCCUCAAGACUGCCAGCUUUUGAACUGUAACCACACUAUCAUCUCUCCUGGUUCUCAGGCCUUUGGACUCAAAUCAGAAGCAUACCAGGGGCUCUCCUACAUCUCCAACUUGCUAACUGUGAUCUUGAGACUUCUUAGCCUCCAUAAUCACAUGAGUCAAUUGUUGGUUCUGCUUCUCUGGAGAACCCUAAUCCAUCACUCUACAUCUUUGUUCCAUUAUACAUAUUGCUUCC
rnacentral:lncRNA from 1 species